CCCAUUUCAAGAUUGAUAAAAGAUCAUAUAAAGACAUCUUGCAGUACAUAUCAAAUGUGUCUGGGCUUGAAGCUUUAAUUUGGACAAGUGAAUUGAAUAUCAUUACCUUUGAAGACAUUGGAAACCUCAUAAAGCAAAAAGAAAUUGCCAACAAUGUCAUUGAUGGCUAUGGAAGAUCCUUUUGGCUGACCAAAUGAGAGAGAAACAACAACCAAACCUCAUUUUUUUUCACAUCCAUGUGCUUA